rnacentral:lncRNA from 1 species
CUUCUACAAGGCUCGCAUGGAGGAACUGAGAGAAGAUAACAUCAUCUUAAUCGAGACGAAGGCCAUGUUGGAGGAACAACUGACUGCCUCCCGGGCUCGCAGCGAUAAAGUCCACGAGCUGGAGAAAGAGAACCUACAGCUGAAAUCUAAACUCCAUGACUUGGAACUGGAUCGGGACACUGACAAGAAACGGAUUGAGGAGCUGCUGGAAGAAAACAUGGUUCUGGAGAUCGCACAGAAGCAGAGCAUGAACGAGUCGGCCCACCUGGGCUGGGAGCUGGAACAGCUGUCCAAGAACGCGGACUUGUCCGACGCCUCCAGGAAAUCCUUCGUGUUUGAGCUGAAUGAGUGCGCCUCCAGCCGCAUCCUGAAGCUGGAGAAGGAGAACCAGAGC